CAGCAGCCGCGGUAAUACAGAGGGUGCGAGCGUUAAUCGGAUUUACUGGGCGUAAAGCGUGCGUAGGCGGCUUUUUAAGUCGGAUGUGAAAUCCCUGAGCUUAACUUAGGAAUUGCAUUCGAUACUGGGAAGCUAGAGUAUGGGAGAGGAUGGUAGAAUUCCAGGUGUAGCGGUGAAAUGCGUAGAGAUCUGGAGGAAUACCGAUGGCGAAGGCAGCCAUCUGGCCUAAUACUGACGCUGAGGUACGAAAGCAUGGGGAGUAAACAGGAUUAGAUACCCCAGUAGUCCCUGUCUCUUAUAA
rnacentral:rRNA from 1 species